rnacentral:rRNA from 1 species
GGGUUGUGAGGUUAAGCGACUAAGCGUACACGGUGGAUGCCCUGGCAGUCAGAGGCGAUGAAGGACGUGCUAAUCUGCGAUAAGCGUCGGUAAGGUGAUAUGAACCGUUAUAACCGGCGAUUUCCGAAUGGGGAAACCCAGUGUGUUUCGACACACUAUCAUUAACUGAAUCCAUAGGUUAAUGAGGCGAACCGGGGGAACUGAAACAUCUAAGUACCCCGAGGAAAAGAAAUCAACCGAGAUUCCCCCAGUAGCGGCGAGCGAACGGGGAGGAGCCCAGAGCCUGAAUCAGUGUGUGUGUUAGUGGAAGCGUCUGGAAAGGCGCGCGAUACAGGGUGACAGCCCCGUACACAAAAAUGCACAUGCUGUGAGCUCGAUGAGUAGGGCGGGACACGUGGUAUCCUGUCUGAAUAUGGGGGGACCAUCCUCCAAGGCUAAAUACUCCUGACUGACCGAUAGUGAACCAGUACCGUGAGGGAAAGGCGAAAAGAACCCCGGCGAGGGGAGUGAAAAAGAACCUGAAACCGUGUACGUACAAGCAGUGGGAGCACGCUUAGGCGUGUGACUGCGUACCUUUUGUAUAAUGGGUCAGCGACUUAUAUUCUGUAGCAAGGUUAACCGAAUAGGGGAGCCGAAGGGAAACCGAGUCUUAACUGGGCGUUAAGUUGCAGGGUAUAGACCCGAAACCCGGUGAUCUAGCCAUGGGCAGGUUGAAGGUUGGGUAACACUAACUGGAGGACCGAACCGACUAAUGUUGAAAAAUUAGCGGAUGACUUGUGGCUGGGGGUGAAAGGCCAAUCAAACCGGGAGAUAGCUGGUUCUCCCCGAAAGCUAUUUAGGUAGCGCCUCGUGAAUUCAUCUCCGGGGGUAGAGCACUGUUUCGGCAAGGGGGUCAUCCCGACUUACCAACCCGAUGCAAACUGCGAAUACCGGAGAAUGUUAUCACGGGAGACACACGGCGGGUGCUAACGUCCGUCGUGAAGAGGGAAACAACCCAGACCGCCAGCUAAGGUCCCAAAGUCAUGGUUAAGUGGGAAACGAUGUGGGAAGGCCCAGACAGCCAGGAUGUUGGCUUAGAAGCAGCCAUCAUUUAAAGAAAGCGUAAUAGCUCACUGGUCGAGUCGGCCUGCGCGGAAGAUGUAACGGGGCUAAACCAUGCACCGAAGCUGCGGCAGCGACGCUUAUGCGUUGUUGGGUAGGGGAGCGUUCUGUAAGCCUGUGAAGGUGUGCUGUGAGGCAUGCUGGAGGUAUCAGAAGUGCGAAUGCUGACAUAAGUAACGAUAAAGCGGGUGAAAAGCCCGCUCGCCGGAAGACCAAGGGUUCCUGUCCAACGUUAAUCGGGGCAGGGUGAGUCGACCCCUAAGGCGAGGCCGAAAGGCGUAGUCGAUGGGAAACAGGUUAAUAUUCCUGUACUUGGUGUUACUGCGAAGGGGGGACGGAGAAGGCUAUGUUGGCCGGGCGACGGUUGUCCCGGUUUAAGCGUGUAGGCUGGUUUUCCAGGCAAAUCCGGAAAAUCAAGGCUGAGGCGUGAUGACGAGGCACUACGGUGCUGAAGCAACAAAUGCCCUGCUUCCAGGAAAAGCCUCUAAGCAUCAGGUAACAUCAAAUCGUACCCCAAACCGACACAGGUGGUCAGGUAGAGAAUACCAAGGCGCUUGAGAGAACUCGGGUGAAGGAACUAGGCAAAAUGGUGCCGUAACUUCGGGAGAAGGCACGCUGAUAUGUAGGUGAAGUCCCUCGCGGAUGGAGCUGAAAUCAGUCGAAGAUACCAGCUGGCUGCAACUGUUUAUUAAAAACACAGCACUGUGCAAACACGAAAGUGGACGUAUACGGUGUGACGCCUGCCCGGUGCCGGAAGGUUAAUUGAUGGGGUCAGCGCAAGCGAAGCUCUUGAUCGAAGCCCCGGUAAACGGCGGCCGUAACUAUAACGGUCCUAAGGUAGCGAAAUUCCUUGUCGGGUAAGUUCCGACCUGCACGAAUGGCGUAAUGAUGGCCAGGCUGUCUCCACCCGAGACUCAGUGAAAUUGAACUCGCUGUGAAGAUGCAGUGUACCCGCGGCAAGACGGAAAGACCCCGUGAACCUUUACUAUAGCUUGACACUGAACAUUGAGCCUUGAUGUGUAGGAUAGGUGGGAGGCUUAGAAGUGUGGACGCCAGUCUGCAUGGAGCCGACCUUGAAAUACCACCCUUUAAUGUUUGAUGUUCUAACGUUGACCCGUAAUCCGGGUUGCGGACAGUGUCUGGUGGGUAGUUUGACUGGGGCGGUCUCCUCCUAAAGAGUAACGGAGGAGCACGAAGGUUGGCUAAUCCUGGUCGGACAUCAGGAGGUUAGUGCAAUGGCAUAAGCCAGCUUGACUGCGAGCGUGACGGCGCGAGCAGGUGCGAAAGCAGGUCAUAGUGAUCCGGUGGUUCUGAAUGGAAGGGCCAUCGCUCAACGGAUAAAAGGUACUCCGGGGAUAACAGGCUGAUACCGCCCAAGAGUUCAUAUCGACGGCGGUGUUUGGCACCUCGAUGUCGGCUCAUCACAUCCUGGGGCUGAAGUAGGUCCCAAGGGUAUGGCUGUUCGCCAUUUAAAGUGGUACGCGAGCUGGGUUUAGAACGUCGUGAGACAGUUCGGUCCCUAUCUGCCGUGGGCGCUGGAGAACUGAGGGGGGCUGCUCCUAGUACGAGAGGACCGGAGUGGACGCAUCACUGGUGUUCGGGUUGUCAUGCCAAUGGCACUGCCCGGUAGCUAAAUGCGGAAGAGAUAAGUGCUGAAAGCAUCUAAGCACGAAACUUGCCCCGAGAUGAGUUCUCCCUGACUCCUUGAGAGUCCUGAAGGAACGUUGAAGACGACGACGUUGAUAGGCCGGGUGUGUAAGCGCAG